ACAAGUGUUUGUUCAAGUAUAGGGGAAAUUCGAGAUUUUAGAAGUGGAUUUUGUAAAUUGAGGUAAAAUUUUGGUCUGUCUGGUGGUGUUGCUCUUAUUCAGGUAUUCACACUGUAACAUACCUCUUCUGUAUGUCAGGUUGGCAAAAGUAUUGUGUUUCUUUUAUGACUUUUUUACUUGCGCAGGUUGGAGCACAAACUGAAACUAAGCUGAAAGGCAAAGAAAUUGAGAGUAGAAGAUGCUCUUAAUGCAGCACAGGUCAAAUCCUUGCUUGAUGAUGCUAAUGCAGGUUCUCCCGAGUCCCCUCAAUAUGGCAGGGAGUUCUAGUAGCUCAACUGCUAGUUCAGGCCAUUUGUUGCCUUCAAUGCCAAAGUAAAAUCUGGGACCUUUUUGCUACUCAUCCUAUCUACUCCCUGAUAAGAGGUCCUUCAUUUGAGUGUUUACACACAAGAGUGCAACAUCUGAAAAAAGAAAGCAAGCCAUCAAAGAAGU